rnacentral:rRNA from 1 species
AACGAACGCUGGCGGCAUGCCUAACACAUGCAAGUCGAACGAGACCUUCGGGUCUAGUGGCGCACGGGUGCGUAACGCGUGGGAAUCUGCCCUUAGGUUCGGAAUAACUUCGGGAAACUGAAGCUAAUACCGGAUGAUGACGUAAGUCCAAAGAUUUAUCGCCUAAGGAUGAGCCCGCGUUGGAUUAGCUAGUUGGUGAGGUAAAGGCUCACCAAGGCGACGAUCCAUAGCUGGUCUGAGAGGAUGAUCAGCCACACUGGGACUGAGACACGGCCCAGACUCCUACGGGAGGCAGCAGUGGGGAAUAUUGGACAAUGGGCGAAAGCCUGAUCCAGCAAUGCCGCGUGAGUGAUGAAGGCCUUAGGGUUGUAAAGCUCUUUUACCCGGGAUGAUAAUGACAGUACCGGGAGAAUAAGCUCCGGCUAACUCCGUGCCAGCAGCCGCGGUAAACUACUG